CCUACGGGCGGCAGCAGUGAGGAAUAUUGGUCAAUGGACGCAAGUCUGAACCAGCCAUGCCGCGUGCAGGAAGACGGCUCUAUGAGUUGUAAACUGCUUUUGUACGAGGGUAAACGCAGAUACGCGUAUCUGUCUGAAAGUAUCGUACGAAUAAGGAUCGGCUAACUCCGUGCCAGCAGCCGCGGUAAUACGGAGGAUUCAAGCGUUAUCCGGAUUUAUUGGGUUUAAAGGGUGCGUAGGCGGUCGGAUAAGUUAGAGGUGAAAUCCCGAGGCUCAACUUCGGAAUUGCCUCUGCUACUGGUAGGCUAGAGAGUAGGUGCGGUAUGCGGAAUGUAUGGUGUAGCGGUGAAAUGCUUAGAGAUCAUACAGAACACCGAUUGCGAAGGCAGCUUACCAAGCUACUUCUGACGUUGAGGCACGAAAGCGUGGGGAGCAAACAGGAUUAGAUACCCGGGUAGUC
rnacentral:rRNA from 1 species